rnacentral:rRNA from 1 species
CUACGGGGCGCUGCAGUGAGGAAUAUUGGUCAAUGGACGAGAGUCUGAACCAGCCAAGUCGCGUGAAGGAUGACGGUUCUAUGGAUUGUAAACUUCUUUUGUACGAGGGUAAAGUGAGCUACGUGUAGCUUUUUGCAAGUAUCGUACGAAUAAGCAUCGGCUAACUCCGUGCCAGCAGCCGCGGUAAUACGGAGGAUGCGAGCGUUAUCCGGAUUUAUUGGGUUUAAAGGGUGCGUAGGCGGUUUCUUAAGUCAGCGGUAAAAUUUCUGUGCUCAACGCAGUCUGGCCGUUGAAACUGGGGAACUUGAGUAUAGAUGAAGUGGGCGGAAUUUGUAGUGUAGCGGUGAAAUGCAUAGAUAUUACAAGGAACUCCAAUUGCGCAGGCAGCUCACUAAACUAUCACUGACGCUGAAGCACGAAAGCGUGGGUAUCAAACAGGAUUAGAUACCCGUGUAGUC